UGGGUCUUUAAGGAUUGGACUUAAUUUCAUAAGACAAUACAUCCUUACUCUCAAUCAUUCUGAAUCAACUCCUCGUAGACUGGAGGCUCACAGCUUUCAUCAUAAAGCAUCCUCUAUUGCAAGCUUUUAGUGGAGACAAUAAAAAAUCCUAAAUAACAAAUGAACCCAAGGUAGGAUGCUGUCAGAUGCACAGAGGUACGCAGUGCUGCCCAAGUUCAGAGGAGCAGGAGUUUCCUUCCAGCUGGAGAAUCAGAAGGAGCUUCAUGAAGAGGGCCAUCCUGAAGACUAGAUAAGUCUGGACCAGGGGAGAUGGCAAAGGGACUCUAAGGGGAGAAGACAGCAGAAGGCAUAAAGGCAAGAAAGGGUCGCUGGAAUGUUCUGUGUGUGGCAGGAAGGGGAAGGUCAAAGGGGUCAGGUUUUCAAGGCAAAAGUUAAAAAAUUUAAACUAUCUGCUAAGCAAUGAAGAUUUUGAUUGCAAGCUGGAAUCAAAAAGGGGGAAUUCCAACUUUUAAGAGGAGAGGAGGCUCACAGCUUCAUAACAAGGAGAUGAACAGGAAAGUUAAAAAUACAUAUCUGACAAUCUAGAGGAAAUAAAUGCUUUCUUGAGAAAGCAAAUUACCAAUCUGUUUGAUACAAGAAUUAGAAAAUAUAGAUAAGCCAGAGUUGCAGAAGA
rnacentral:lncRNA from 1 species